GAAAUGCGAUAAGUAAUGUGAAUUGCAGAGCACAGUGAAUCAUCGAAUCUUUGAACGCACAUGGCGCCCGCCGGUAAUCCGGUGGGCAUGCCUGUCCGAGCGUCAUUUCAACCCUCAGAACCCCUCUCUCGGGAGGGCGUUACUGGUGUUGGGGAUGGAGCGCCCCCCGCGGCGCCCCUCCCUUAAAUCUAUUGGCGGCUCCGGAGUCUGUCUCCCCUGCGUAGUAUUGCAUCUCGCUUUGGUGACUUCUUCGGGCUGCUGUGGCACUGCCACGAAACCCUCUAGGUUGACCUCGGAUCAGGUAGGGAUACCCGCUGAACUUAA
rnacentral:misc_RNA from 1 species